AGAAUUCAGAAAAAUACAUACAGAGUAAGGAGGAAUUCCACAGUGCUGCCUCCAAGACGGAAGCAAACGUGAGGUCUCGCAAUAUGAAUCCGGUGUGUUCUGGCCUGCAGGCUCAGAUUCUAUCCUGCUACAGGGAUAACGGAGAC